GUUCAAUCCCUGGUAUCCACCCCAAAAAGAAUGCAGCCAUGAGUCGGAGACUUGCAGCCGACGGUCUUGAAGUCUAUUUGCUGACAUUUGAAGCAUUAAAUUAAUAUCGCUGCAGUCGAUCCUGCAGGCUCCUGGCCCGUCAUUGGGAUUCCGGGCGGACAGGCGAUUAGAGAGAGAGGAGCCCUGUUCAUUCUGCACCUGGACAGCAUCUGGCCAGGGCAUCGGGGCCCCCCAAAGUCCUGCUGCACUGUGUGUCCCCGAUUUCUCUCCCACGGACCCCAAAUCUGACUCGGCACCAGGUGGGCCCACGCAUGCCCGGGUUGAAGGUGCAGCGACUGCAUUUGGACACUUGGGUCUGACCCUGUGGACCUGCCUGUGCGGAUUGGUAUCAGACAGGACAGGGAAGGGGCUGCCCUGGACGGGAGCCACAUUUAUUCCAAAACUUCCCAAAAAGCUCCCCCAGAGGACUUGAGUGACAUCAGAGAGCGAGGUCCCGACCCUCCAAAUAGAGAAUCUGGAUAUGAUCUGUCUCAGGGCACAGGUCAUCACCCAGCAAGGCGCUGGCCAGGGACACAGCGCGACGAUACUGAUUCUGUAUCAGAAGCGAGUCCACAAGGGACAGAUGGUGGCUUUCCUCCGUGCACAUGUGGGUGCCUGGAUUUUGCAGCAUCCAGAACUCAGGCUGAGCAAAGUGGUUGGAGAACGAGAGCUGGUCCCUGUGUCCAGGGUGAUGCACGGGGCUGUCUCUCUGGGGCAGGUUCUUCCCGGGCAGAGCAGAGACCCCUGGGAAAGGGCUGGGGGUCCCGGCUUUACCGACUCCCAGGUGCAUGUCACAUUGGGGUUUGCAGAACCUGGGAGCGGAAGUGGCUUGGACCUGCAGAAUCAGCACCGUGCGUCCAUCCUUCUUGCAUUUGUGGAAUGAUAUGAACCAGAUUUGGUACAACUGAGUGGCUGGGGACGUCUCGUGGAAGUGGGUCCUGUGCUGUCAAUCAAACCCUGCGCCUUGCCCCCGAGGAUGGUCGCUCCCAGGUCUCUGUGAUGAUCUCUGCCUCAUCAGAGGCAG
rnacentral:lncRNA from 1 species